rnacentral:rRNA from 1 species
CGUAUGGUGCAAGCGUUAUCCGGAUUUACUUGGGUGUAAAGGGAGCGCAGGCGGUGCGGCAAGUCUGAUGUGAAAGCCCGGGGCUCAACCCCGGUACUGCAUUGGAAACUGUCGUACUAGAGUGUCGGAGGGGUAAGCGGAAUUCCUAGUGUAGCGGUGAAAUGCGUAGAUAUUAGGAGGAACACCAGUGGCGAAGGCGGCUUACUGGACGAUAACUGACGCUGAGGCUCGAAAGCGUGGGGAGCAA